UACGUAGGGUGCAAGCGUUAAUCGGAAUUACUGGGCGUAAAGCGUGCGCAGGCGGUUGUGUAAGACAGAUGUGAAAUCCCCGGGCUCAACCUGGGAACUGCAUUUGUGACUGCACGGCUCGAGUGCGGCAGAGGGGGGAUGGAAUUCCGCGUGUAGCAGUGAAAUGCGUAGAUAUGCGGAGGAACACCGAUGGCGAAGGCAAUCCCCUGGGCCUGCACUGACGCUCAUGCACGAAAGCGUGGGGAGCAAACAGG
rnacentral:rRNA from 1 species